rnacentral:rRNA from 1 species
UACGUAGGUGGCAAGCGUUAUCCGGAAUUAUUGGGCGUAAAGCGCGCGCAGGUGGUUUCUUAAGUCUGAUGUGAAAGCCCACGGCUCAGCCGUGGAGGGUCAUUGGAAACUGGGAGACUUGAGUGCAGAAGAGGAAAGUGGAAUUCCAUGUGUAGCGGUGAAAUGCGUAGAGGUAUGGAGGAACACCAGUGGCGAAGGCGACUUUCUGGUCUGUAACUGACACUGAGGCGCGAAAGCGUGGGGAGCAAACAGG